CCUACGGGAGGCUGCAGUGGGGAAUAUUGGACAAUGGGGGCAACCCUGAUCCAGCCAUGCCGCGUGUGUGAAGAAGGCCUCGGGUUGUAAAGCACUUUCAGUGAGGAAGAACGCCUGGUGGUUAAUACCCAUCAGGAAAGACAUCACUCACAGAAGAAGCACCGGCUAACUCCGUGCCAGCAGCCGCGGUAAUACGGAGGGUGCGAGCGUUAAUCGGAAUUACUGGGCGUAAAGCGCGCGUAGGUGGCUUGAUAAGCCGGUUGUGAAAGCCCCGGGCUCAACCUGGGAACGGCAUCCGGAACUGUCAAGCUAGAGUGCAGGAGAGGAAGGUAGAAUUCCCGGUGUAGCGGUGAAAUGCGUAGAGAUCGGGAGGAAUACCAGUGGCGAAGGCGGCCUUCUGGACUGACACUGACACUGAGGUGCGAAAGCGUGGGUAGCAAACAGGAUUAGAUACCCUAGUAGUC
rnacentral:rRNA from 1 species